AAUCAAUCUGCUUAGCAACAACAGAAGGAGCACUGCACAGCAGCUCACUCAAUGUUUCCAUGGUAACCAGCUGAAGGUCAAGGUCAUCUUGUAGCAAAGACUGGAUCAGAAGAGGGUAGAUCUGCAAUUAAAAGAAUGAUGACCUGCUUAUCCAGGCCUUGCAUCAUAUAGGAAAGGGCAAAGUACACAAGACUGUCUGAAGAGAUUCCCCUGAAAAAAAGAAGAGACAUACAGAGGAAUCAAAACACAAACAAAUGCCAAUG